UGUUGAUUAACAUGGAAGUUUAAUUUUUACAUAAUAAUAAUAAAUUGACAGACGGGUGUGGGGGGGAUUUAUUGAAGCCUGAGUUUUCUCCUACAGAAAAUGAGAACUAAGACGGUGAUCCUGCUCAUUGCCCUUGUGGUGCUGCUCAAAGUGGUGUCCAAUGAUGCUGGAGCAGACGAUCCAGUUAUUCCAGACGACAGUUUUGAAAAAGAGUUUAAAAAACAUUCCAGUGAUCUCGGCGAGGAGCCUAAAGCAUCGACCAGCCCUGAGGGAGAAAACUCGGACGAGAAAUGACAGGAGACAGAAAAUGGGUUUGCAAACGUUCUCCCAGUUUGAGAAGAACUUAAAUGAAUAAAGAUAAUAAAUAAAUCCA